rnacentral:rRNA from 1 species
CAAUAGCGUAUAUUUAAGUUGUUGCAGUUAAAAAGCUCGUAGUUGGAUUUCGGGUGGGACGCAGCGGUCUCGCAUUGCGUUUGUACUGCUGCAGCCCUCCUUCUUGCCGGGGGCGGCCUCUCGGACUUCACUGUCUGGGGGUCAGAAUCGGCGAUGUUACUUUGAGUAAAUUAGAGUGUUCAAAGCAAGCUUACGCUCUGAAUAUAAUAGCAUGGGAUAACACGACAGGACUCUGGCCUAUCGUGUUGGUCUAUAGGACCAGAGUAAUGAUUAAGAGGGACAGUCGGGGGCAUUCGUAUUCCGUUGUCAGAGGUGAAAUUCUUGGAUUUACGGAAGACGAACAUCUGCGAAAGCAUUUGCCAAGGAUGUUUUCAUUNA